UACAGAGGGCGCAAGCGUUGUUCGGAUUCAUUGGGCGUAAAGGGUGCGUAGGCGGCGCGCUAAGUCGGGUGUGAAAUUUCGGAGCUUAACUCCGAAACUGCAUUCGAUACUGGCGUGCUUGAGGACUGGAGAGGAGACUGGAAUUCAUGGUGUAGCAGUGAAAUGCGUAGAGAUCAUGAGGAAGACCAGUGGCGAAGGCGGGUCUCUGGACAGUUCCUGACGCUGAGGCACGAAGGCCAGGGGAGCAAACAGG
rnacentral:rRNA from 1 species